rnacentral:rRNA from 1 species
UGCCCUUACCAUGCAAGUCGAACGGCAGCGCGGGCUUCGGCCUGGCGGCGAGUGGCGAACGGGUGAGUAAUACAUCGGAACGUGCCCUGUUGUGGGGGAUAACUAGUCGAAAGAUUAGCUAAUACCGCAUACGACCUGAGGGUGAAAGCGGGGGACCGGUAACGGCCUCGCGCAAU